AGUGAACGCUGGCGGUAGGCCUAACACAUGCAAGUCGAACGGCAGCACAGGAGAGCUUGCUCUCUAGGUGGCGAGUGGCGGACGGGUGAGGAAUACAUCGGAAUCUGCCCAGUCGUGGGGGAUAACGUAGGGAAACUUACGCUAAUACCGCAUACGACCUUCGGGUGAAAGAGGGGGAUCGCAAGACCUCUCGCGAUUGGAUGAGCCGAUGUCGGAUUAGCUAGUUAGCGGGGUAAUGGCCCACCAAGGCGACGAUCCGUAGCUGGUCUGAGAGGAUGAUCAGCCACACUGGAACUGAGACACGGUCCAGACUCCUACGGGAGGCAGCAGUGGGGAAUAUUGGACAAUGGGCGCAAGCCUGAUCCAGCCAUACCGCGUGGGUGAAGAAGGCCUUCGGGUUGUAAAGCCCUUUUGUUGGGAAAGAAAUCUUUCAGGCUAAUACCCUGGGAGGAUGACGGUACCCAUAGAAUAAGCACCGGCUAACUUCGUG
rnacentral:rRNA from 1 species